rnacentral:rRNA from 1 species
GAUGAACGCUGGCGGCGUGCCUAAUACAUGCAAGUCGAGCGAAAAGACGAGGAGCUUGCUCCGCUGACGUUAGCGGCGGACGGGUGAGUAACACGUGGAUAACCUACCUAUAAGACGGGGAUAACCUCGGGAAACCGGAGAUAAUAGCGGAGAAUAUAUUGAACCGCAUGGUGCAAUAGUGAAAGACGGUUUUGCUGGCACUUAUAGAUGGAUCCGCGCCGGAUUAGCUAGUUGGGAAGGUAACGGCUUACCACGGCAACGAGGCGUAGGCGACCUCAGGGACUGAUCGGCCACACUGGAACUGAGACACGGUCCAGACUCCUACGGGAGGCAGCAGUCGGGAAUCUUCCGCAAUGGGCGAAAGCCUGACGGAGCAACGCCGCGUGAGUGAUGAAGGUCUUCGGUUCGUAAAGCUCUGUUAUUGGGGAAGAACAGCUGUGUAAGUAACUAUGCCCGUCUUGACGGUACCUAAUCAGAAAGCCCCGGCUAACUACGUG